rnacentral:rRNA from 1 species
AGCGAACGCUGGCGGCAGGCCUAACACAUGCAAGUCGAACGAAGUCUUCGGACUUAGCGGCGGACGGGUGAGUAACACGUGGGAACGUGCCUUUAGGUUCGGAAUAACUCAGGGAAACUUGUGCUAAUACCGAAUGUGCCCUUCGGGGGAAAGAUUUAUCGCCUUUAGAGCGGCCCGCGUCUGAUUAGCUAGUUGGUGGGGUAAUGGCCCACCAAGGCUACGAUCAGUAGCUGGUCUGAGAGGAUGACCAGCCACAUUGGGACUGGGACACGGCCCAAACUCCUACGGGAGGCAGCAGUGGGGAAUCUUGCGCAAUGGGCGAAAGCCUGACGCAGCCAUGCCGCGUGGAUGAUGAAGGUCUUAGGAUUGUAAAAUCCUUUCACCGGUGAAGAUAAUGACUGUAGCCGGAGAAGAAGCCCCGGCUAACUUCGUGCCAGCCGCCGCCGUAACAC